UACAGAGGUCUCAAGCGUUGUUCGGAUUCAUUGGGCGUAAAGGGCGCGUAGGCGGCGGGGUAAGUCGGGUGUGAAAUCUCAGAGCUCAACUCUGAAACUGCACUCGAUACUGCUCUGCUUGAGGACUGGAGAGGAGACUGGAAUUCACGGUGUAGCAGUGAAAUGCGUAGAUAUCGUGAGGAAGACCAGUGGCGAAGGCGGGUCUCUGGACAGUUCCUGACGCUGAGGCGCGAAGGCCAGGGGGGCAAACGGG
rnacentral:rRNA from 1 species